UACAGAGGUCCCAAGCGUUGUUCGGAUUCACUGGGCGUAAAGGGUGCGUAGGUGGUAAGGCAAGUCAGGUGUGAAAUCUCCGGGCUCAACCCGGAAAUGGCAUUCGAAACUACCUUGCUAGAGGAUUUGAGGGGGGACUGGAAUACUUGGUGUAGCAGUGAAAUGCGUAGAUAUCAAGUGGAACACCAGUGGCGAAGGCGAGUCCCUGGAAAACUCCUGACACUGAGGCACGAAAGCUAGGGGAGCAAACAGG
rnacentral:rRNA from 1 species